rnacentral:tRNA from 1 species
UUCCCCUGUAGCUCAGUUGGUAGAGCGAGCGGCUGUUAACCGCUAGGUCACUGGUUCAAGUCCAGUCGGGGGAGU